rnacentral:pre_miRNA from 1 species
AAUGUAUGACGCCAUUAACGUUUUGUCCAACGUUUGACCAUUCGUCUUAUUCAAAAAAUUUAUGUAAUUAUCAUUUAUUUUAUUAUGACUUGAUUCGUUAUCAAAUGUUCUUUAAGCAUGACAUAAAUAUUUUCCUAUUUACAUAAAAGUUUUAAAUAAAACGAAUGGUUAAACAUUGGUCGAAAAGUCAAUGGCGUCAUUUAAA